rnacentral:rRNA from 1 species
AUUGAACGCUGGCGGCAGGCUUAACACAUGCAAGUCGAGCUAGCGGCGGACGGGUGAGUACUUUCUGGGAAACUGCCUGAUGGAGGGGGCUAACUACUGGAAACGGUAUCUAAUACCGCAUACCAUCAGAUGUGCCCAGAUGGGAUUAGCUAGUAGGUGGGGUAAUGGCUCACCUGGGCGACGAUCCCUAGCUGGUCUGAGAGGAUGACCCGCCACACUGGAACUGAGACACGGUCCAGACUCCUACGGGAGGCAGCAGUGGGGAAUAUUGCACAAUGGGAGCAAGCCGGAUGCAGCCAUGCCGCGUGUGUGAAGAAGGCCUUCGGGUUGUAAAGCACUUUCAGAGAGGAGGCGUUACUCGCAGAAGAAGCACCGGAUAACUCCGUGCCAGCAGCCGCGGUAAUUC